AGAGUUUGAUCCUGGCUCAGGAUGAACGCUGGCGGCGUGCCUAAUACAUGCAAGUCGAGCGAACAGAUAAGGAGCUUGCUCCUUUGAAGUUAGCGGCGGACGGGUGAGUAACACGUGGGUAACCUACCUAUAAGACUGGGAUAACUUCGGGAAACCGGAGCUAAUACCGGAUAACAUUUAGAACCGCAUGGUUCUAAAGUGAAAGAUGGUUUUGCUAUCACUUAUAGAUGGACCCGCGCCGUAUUAGCUAGUUGGUAAGGUAACGGCUUACCAAGGCGACGAUACGUAGCCGACCUGAGAGGGUGAUCGGCCACACUGGAACUGAGACACGGUCCAGACUCCUACGGGAGGCAGCAGUAGGGAAUCUUCCGCAAUAGGCGAAAGCCUGACGGAGCAACGCCGCGUGAGUGAUGAAGGGUUUCGGCUCGUAAAACUCUGUUAUUAGGGAAGAACAAAUGUGUAAGUAACUGUGCACAUCUUGACGGUACCUAAUCAGAAAGCCACGGCUAACUACGUG
rnacentral:rRNA from 1 species